GUAGGGAAUAUUGGGCAAUGGUCGGAAGACUGACCCAGCCAUGCCGCGUGCAGGAAGACGGCCCUCUGGGUUGUAAACUGCUUUUAUCUGGGAAGAAAAAGGCCAUGCGUGGCAAAUUGCCGGUACCAGAUGAAUAAGCACCGGCUAACUCCGUGCCAGCAGCCGCGGUAAUACGGAGGGUGCGAGCGUUGUCCGGAUUUAUUGGGUUUAAAGGGUGCGUAGGCGGCUGAUUAAGUCAGCGGUGAAAGACUUCGGCUUAACCGGAGCAGUGCCGUUGAUACUGGUUGGCUUGAGUGUCGGAGGGGUACAUGGAAUUGAUGGUGUAGCGGUGAAAUGCAUAGAUACCAUCAGGAACACCGAUAGCGAAGGCAUUGUACUGGCCGACAACUGACGCUGAUGCACGAAAGUGUGGGGAUCGAACAGGAUUAGAAAACCCGGUAGUCC
rnacentral:rRNA from 1 species